CUAAGGCAUAUUCCAGGGUAAGAAUUGGUCUUGACAAAACAAAUAGAUUGGUGGCAUCUCCAAAACUGACUUAUGGAUCUUCACUGGAAAUGGAUUCUUUGCAAGCAAAAGUGAGUAAGAUUUACAAACUAAUAGAGUACUGUCUUCUCAUUCAUUUUUGUGUGAAUCUGUAUAUUAAGAAUCCCUAAAGGUGACAAAGGGGUCAAGUAUGCAAAUUGAAGUAUCCAGAAAGCAUCCUAGUAUAAACACUAGUUUACAAAUCUUGUUUCAGAUCUACUUGACAUGUGAACUGGAUCAUACUUCUGUGUAACCUGGUAAAGAAUACAGAGUAAGAGAAAUGUUAUUCCAAAGAGGAGGAGAGUAAGUGUAUCAGAAAAGUACGUCCUGGGAAGCCUGAAAAGUACAAAAAAGGGUGUGGCGUGAUUGAAAAAUAUACCCCAAGACUAGAGUCUGGUAUUUUGUUCAGUUUGCCGAAUCCUAGAGACAGCCUCAGGUCAGUGGCCUUUUGCUUAUUCAUUUCAACCAUUGUUUGUACCUGG
rnacentral:lncRNA from 1 species